rnacentral:rRNA from 1 species
GACAGAGGGGGCAAGCGUUGCUCGGAAUUACUGGGCGUAAAGGGCGCGUAGGCGGGAUGGCAAGUCGGUCGUGAAAUCCCUCGGCUCAACUGAGGAGCGUCGAUCGAAACUGCCGUUCUUGAGGGUUGCAGAGGAGACUGGAAUUCCCGGUGUAGCGGUGAAAUGCGUAGAUAUCUGGAGGAACACCGGUGGCGAAGGCGGCAUCCUGGACCGGCAUUGACGCUGAGGCGCGAAAGCCAGGGGAGCAAACGGG